UCUGAGUUUAACCUCAAUUGACUGUCUUGCUUACAGCUUCCAGAAUUCUGCUCAAGGGAUAGCUCCUUAACUGUUAAGGAAAUAUUUGGAGUGGCAGAUGAGGAUGCUGAAAAGCUUCGUUUACAUACUAUCCCAGAAGCUGGGAACAUGGAUUCGCUUGAGAGGAUGGUGAAUGAGUCAGAUUCAGAAGUUUGCGGUGAUGAAUCUGCUAAUGUUUCCUGAUUCACAUCGCUUGAGUGUAGGGCAGUUGUUGGUGGGGAACAUUGUGGAAAGUAAUACAAAACUAUGAUGAGAUGACUCACUAUAACCUACACAUCCUUUGCAGGGCCCAAGUCAUCAUCCCUAACAGCGGAUAAAGAGAAGUCAUAACUCCAAAACUGCAGCUAUAUCUAAACCACCAUGCAUCUUGUGAAAUUUGGUCUAGAAUUGCUUCAAUUUUGUGGCCAGACCACUUUUGAUACAAAAUGCUUGGUGUUUGUUGAAUGUGUUUGGUUCGAGGUAAACCUGUAUUUCAAUAGUGUAAGUCGUGAAACAGCAGAAUUAUUACAAGUUCCUUGGUGCCAGGGAACAUAAUUUUUGAGCUUAAGUUGUCGGCUAUGCUAUGAUUGGUCGACAAUUGGGCGCAAACCAUUAGAAUGGUAACUUAAAUUUGAACUGAUAACUUAAGCGGAGAUUACAGAACACAAUACAAGUAACUGAUGCAUCAGUCAAGUUGACUAAUUUUUAGUAGUUGAAUGUGAUAGGACUCAUUUAGGCCUCAACACUUAAUGGAGGUGUGAAUCUUAAUCAUACAGAUCUCGGACA